rnacentral:lncRNA from 1 species
UUCAAUAACAUUCAUAUUUCCAUAAACCAUUCAAAGACAUUUCCUUAACUUUCCAAAUAUCCAUUACAUAAUUCAACCAUUUAAAAUAGUCAUUCAAUACGCAUAAUUCAUGCAACAUUCCCAUACAAUUUUCAAACUUUCAUUCACAAUUAAACAAAAUCCUACACUAAUCCAUAAUUAACCCCACAAUUCCAUCAUUCAUGUGCAACCUCCUUGAUCUUUCAAAACGGCUUCAUAAAUGGCUCACAAUGAAGAUGAUGCAGACUCCCAAACACGUCAUCCUGCAUAAAGCAUCAUUCAGUGGUCAACAAUACUUACUAGCAGUAAAAUAGAAGUCCAUCAAUGCAUCAAACAAUGGCAGAAAGCGCUGAAUGUCACAACACACAUACAUAGUCGGUUAUUCAUAUAUCCAUGGUGUGCA